ACAGCAUGCUCUUUGAGGACCCAGCUCUGAUAGGGCUUCUGAGGUGCCAGAAACCUCCAGCUGGAAUAUCCUGCCUUCAGGACACAUCAGACAUCUGGCUGUUCAUUAGUCCAAUGUUACAAGUCCUGCAGUCCACCUCCCAUUCUAUCUGGCUCCCUGCUCUACCAGAGACAAAUCCACCAGAGCCAUAACAGAUGCGCUGCCGGGUCCCCAUCAGCAUCUGCACUGAGACCUACCACGGGACAAACCAAUGAUGAAAAACCCAAAGUCCAGAAAAUGAAAAUGGUCUCAGAGAGACUGGCCAAUCCUAUUUGGGGUCCUCUAGAAAAUUCUCCCAUCACUCUUCCCUGUCCUACCAUUUCCACAUAUUGAUCAUGACUUGGUGCUUCGUUUUUCUGCCCCUGCACUAGAACACAAACUCCACAAAGGCAAGGAGUUUAUCUUGUUCUUGAUGAAUCCCAGGCACUUAAGGAAGUAUUUGUUCGAUAAUUAGUUGUUGAGUGAGUGAAUAAAUGCACCUGUCCUAGCAUUUUGUGGGUAGGUUCUGCCACCAUUGUCUUGUACUCUCAAAGUCUUAUCAAAAUUGCUGUAAAUCAUGCCUAAAAUGAGACAUGAGUUUGCCACCAAAAAUGUGAAUUAAUUUGCCAGGAUGCUGUGUUACCAUUUUUAUGGGUAUUUUGCAUGUGGAAGUUGGAAGUAUAUUCACGUAUGAAAAUUAGACACAGUCAUGUACUGGCCAUAAAGCACAAGGCCAUUAUUUAGCUAGCCACACACAAACUUGUUUCUUCCCUGUUUCUGUUCCAUUGCCACGCAUUACAGAGGGUCCUAUCAGGAGGUAGUGCCUGUUUCUCCAUCUCUUGACUCUGAGCUGGUUUUGUGACUUUCUUUGGCCAAUAGUACAUUAACAAAUAUGAUGCAAACCGCAGCAUGAAAUAAGCUAGCACAUUGGGGCUUGCCCACUUGCUGCUUUUGGGAAUCCUGUGGCUGCCAUCCUGUGAAGAGGUUCAGGUUAGCUUACUGAAUGUUAAGAUACACAAGGCUCUGUUCUAGCCAACUGCCAGACAUAUGAAUGAGGCCACUCUAGAUCAUUCAGCUACCAGCUGACAUAUGAGAGAGCCCAGCAGAGAUCAGCAAGGUUGCCCUAUGGCUGAAAAAUUGAUCAGAUGACCUAAAGAAUCAUGAGCUAAUACAUGGUUAUUUGAAGCCACUAAGUUUGGAAUGGUUAGUUACACAGCAGAAGCCAACUGAUAGAGACUGAAAAACAAAACAUCCAACAAACAUUUAAUGGAGAUGAGUGUUUCUGCUUCUUUCAAAGUUACCUUGUCUUUAUACAGGAAGGUAACUCUGCAGUUAUAGAUUUUAAAUAGAAUAAUGCUUUUGUGCUAAUCCCUACCCCUCACCUUCUUGUCCAAACCGUUUCUGAACAACAUCAAGAAUUUUCAAGGUGAAGUCAAAGGUGAAAUUUGUUUCCGUGGGAUAAAAAUUCCCUAGUUUCAAAAAGUAAGGCCCUCAAGAGAAUGAGAAGACAAGUCAAAGACUAGGAGAAAUAUCUGCAAAAGCCAUAUCUGAUAAAGGACUUUUAUCCAAAAUAUACAAAGAAUUCAUAAGACUAAACAAUAAGACAACAAACAACCCAAUUUAAAAAUGGGCAAAAGUUCUAAACAAAUACCUCACCAAAGAAGAUAUGCAGGUAGCAAAUAAUAAGCAUAUAAAAAGAUGCUCAACAUCAUAUGUCAUUAGGGAAAUGCAAAUAAGACAGUCCACCUUAGAAUGACCACAUUAGAAUGGCCAAGAUCCAAAACACUGACAAUACUUAAUGCCGGUGAGGAUGUGGAACAACAGCAACUCUCGUUCACUGUGGUGGGGACGCAAAAUAGUACAGCCACUACAGAAGACAGUUUGGCAGUUUCUUACAAAACUAGACAUACUUUACAAUAUGAUCCAGCAAUCAUACUCCUUGGUAUUUACCCAAAUAAGCUGAAAACUUUUGUCCACACAGAAACCUACACAUGGCUGUUUAUAGCAGCUUUAUUCAUAAUUGCUAAAACUUGGAAGCAACCAAGAUGCCCUUCAGUAACUGACAGAGAAACUGCAGUGGAACCAUACAAUGAAAUAUUAUCCAGCACUAAAAAGCAAUGAGCUCUCAAGAGAUGGAGGAGCCUUAAAUCCAUAUUACUAAGUGAAAGAAGCCAACUGGAAAAGGCUACAUACUGUAUGGGAACUCUGUAGAUUCAGUUCAGUUUUGCUAUGAACCUAAAACUACUCUAAAAUAUAAAGUUUAUUUUUCUAAAAAAAAGUAAGGACCUUGAAUCAAAACUGACAUGAAUUACUAUACAAGAGCAAGAAAAUUGAAGUCAGCAAAAACCCACCAAUGGAAAACUAAUUAAAUAAAUUAAAAUUUUUCAUAGAUUGAAGUACUCUAUGGCCAUUACAAAUAAUGAAGUAAAAGCCUAAUAACAGAAACAUUUUCAGCAUACAGUUACAUACAAAAAUGUAUAACAGUUUGAAGAGUAUGAUACCAUUUUUGUAAAAAAUAUGCAAAUAUAGAUAGAAUAUACACAGGAAGGAUUAUCCUAAGAUGCUAUGCAGCUACCUUCUAGUGAUGCUGAAAGUUGGGGUUUACUUUGCUUUCUUUUCUUGACCUGUAUUUUCUAAAUUAUCUUUAAUGACCACUUGUCACUUUUUUCAACAUCUUUAUUGAUAUAUAAUUGGAUAUCUUAAAAUUCACCUAUUUAAAGCAAACAAUUCAGUGGUUUAUAAUAUAUUCAGAGUUAUACAACCAUCACCACAAUCUAAGUUUAGACCACUUUCAUCACCCCCCACACCAAUACCCUGUACCUAUUAGCAGUCACUCCCCUUUCCCCCCACCCACCCCGAGGCAACCACGAGUCCACUUUUUGUCUCUAUGCACUUGCCUCACCUGGAUAUUUCAUAUAAAUGGAUUCAUAUAAUAUGUGGUCUUUUGCAACUGGCUUCUUUCACUUUAGCAUAUGUUCAAGGUUCAUACAUGUAGCAUAUAUCAGUAGUUUAUUCCUUUUUAUUGCAAAAUAAUAUUCCAUCAUAUGGAUAUACCAUAGUUUAUUCAUCAUUUGAUGAACAUUUAAGUUGUUUCUACUUUUUGGACAUUACAAAUAAAGCUGCCAUCAACAUUAAUGUACAUAGGUCUUUAUGUGGACAUAUGUUUUCAUUUCUCUUAAAUAUAGGGGUGGAAUUGCUGGGUCAUAUGGUAACUAUGUUUAACAUUUUGGGAAAGUGUCCAUGGAUCACUUUUAUAAAAAUAAAAAAAGUUAUAAGAAUGAAAGCAGAGGCCUCUUGGCCUCACUAGACUAGUUCUCAAGCCUUCUUAAGUCUAAUUUGCCAAGCCUAAUUUGCCACUUCACCCGAAAAGGAUGUUUAAAGAGGCCACUGAUUUAAAAGCUCUGUGUCAACAUGCAUGCCCAGCUUAUUCAAGUUGGAAGGGGUCAGGGUGGACCUCUAGUCCAGUGGCUGCUAGGCCUGGCUGAAUUUUUUACAUGCAGUUCCCUAAUCUCCACCCCGAAGACCCACUGACUUUGAGUCUCGAUCUCAGCUCACUGCAGCCUCAACCUCCCAGGCUCAAGUGAGCCUCCCACUACAGCCCCUCUGAGUCGCUGGGAAUACAGGCACACACCACCAUGCCCAGCUAAUUUUUAUUUUUUUAAUGUAGAGAGACAAGGUCUCACUAUGUUGCCCAGGCUGGUUUUGAACUCCUGGGCUUAAACAGUCCUCCCACUUCAGCCUCCCAAAGAGCUGGGAUUACAGGCAUAAGCCAGCCAGCCAGAAUGUGAAUUUUUAAUAAGUCCUCAGGUGAUUCUGAGGACUAGCAAGGUUUGGGAACCACUGCGCUAGUCCUUCCUGCCUAAAACAUCACUCCUAAUUAGUGGUAAUGGAACAUCCAAGUCACACCAGCAUCUGGGAGUUGACAGUCCUAGGCCCCAGCCACUUCCUCUGCUAAAGAGUUCCACAUACACUCUCCAAUUAGACCUAGUUUUUCCCUUACAAUCAACAAAAACAGUCUACUUCCUUCCUCAUAAGUCAGCCCUUCAAAGAUAUGAGGAAGCCAGCUACCUGAUUACCCUUGUUUUUUCCUCCUCCAAGAUAAACAUGUCCAAUUGUUUCCCACCAUUUCCAGGUGUCUCCCGCAUCACUGUCACUUUCACCUGUACCCUAGAGUCUGCUGAUGUUUCUCAUCAAAUAUGGUGGUCAUGGUGGAACCUAAGACUCUAAGUCAGCCAGCACUGGACUGAAGAAAACAGGGAGAAGUCCUUCAUGCAUGUGUUUUCAUAAAUUUGGUCAAAGAUAUCUGUUCUAAGCAGUGCUAACCUCAUAUUAUCCAAUUAUUUAUUCAAUCAAUGUUUGUUAAAAACCUGCAACACAAAAGGAACUAAUGUGGAUCCAGAAACCAUGAAUAUAAGGAAUGGCUGGUCCCUGACUCAAGGAGUUUGCAUAGCAAUUUGAUAACUUCAGUAAUUCCUAGGUAAGGUGAAAUGUGGUUGUUUCAAAAGGAGGGGAGAGCAAAGCCAGCUGAUAGUCUUAUAGAUGGCCCCACAAAGCUGGUGGCAUUAGGGUUGGGCUGGAAAUGACGAGCAACUGCCUCAAAAGUGAAGAUCUGAGGUGGAGCAGGGUCUCAGCAGAGAGUGAGCAACCAGAAAGAAACAUGGGCUGUGAUCUGGAAAUGUUCACUGGGUCACAGCCCAGAGCACUUGGAGGGAAGCAGUAGAGACAUUCUUGGCCUGUAUUAACUCUUUUUCAUUGGAAUUGCUGUCAAAUCAGGUAUGCUUCAUUCUAUAUUAUUGACUUUUUGGAGCUUAAAUACAAUUUGUUGAUACU
rnacentral:lncRNA from 1 species